UGACGCAAUUGAUUAUGUCGUAACAUGCCAUUUGAACGCAGAAGAUGCAGAAUCGCGCAUAUACUGCCAAGAAACACCAUAUCUAGGAAGGAAACAGGAGGGACGUUCAUCUGUUAUUGUGAAUCCUGAGAAGUAUACAUUACUUGAUAAAGGAAAGGGAUUUUAAACGAAGAUCAUACUUAACCUUGAGAGGACAUCUCUGAUGAGAAGAAGGAACUAGAACUACUAAGGGUGAAUAAAAUUUUGGAGAAUGGAAAACUGGAGAUCAUCAUCCGUUGCAGAAGAACCUGAAUUUUACACACAGGCAGAGGAGCUAGACUGUUUAACUCGGUUAGAAUAUUAUAUGAAAAGUGAGUGAUAC